UGAAAAUAAAACCUGGGGCGCUUGAUGUAUUGACUCCAGUCCUCUGUAGAGGAGUCAAAUGGGUCGAUCGUCCCAAAGAAAGGCAUCCUGAUAUGCAAAGUGCAGUGUUUGAGAAACUGUCAUGGUGGCCAUAUGUCAGCAUCACCACCACAUGGCCACCACCAACACGUCUGGAGCCCCCCUCCACACCAGAGAGCCAAGAUUUGCAACUUAUGUCACAUCCUUUCAGCGUGCCAGGCACCAGAGCAGUGACAAACACUUCGGUGGGGAUUAUGACAUCGGCUAGUGUCCCAGGGCACAGUGUAGAGGGGACUUUACAAUUGCUGGAGGAGAUGGCACGGACAGAGAGUGCCAAUAGUACCAGCAGCCG